UGGCUCAGUAAGUAGAGCAUUGUGCUUGCAACGCCAGGGUUGUGGGUUUGAUUCCCAU
rnacentral:tRNA from 1 species